rnacentral:rRNA from 1 species
AUUGAACGCUGUCGGCAGGCUUCACACAUGCAAGUCGAGCGAGCGGCGGACGGGUGAGUAAUGUCUGGGAAACUGCCUGAUGGCGGGGGAUAACUACUGGAAACGGUAGCUAAUCCCGCAUACCAUCAGAUGUGCCCAGCUGGGAUUAGCUAGUCGGUGGGGUAAUGGCUCACCUAGGCGCCGAUCCCUAGCUGGUCUGAGAGGAUGACCAGCCACACUGGAACUGAGACACGGUCCAGACUCCUACGGGAGGCAGCAGUGGGGAAUAUUGCACAAGGGGCGCAAGCCUGAUGCAGCCAGGCCGCGUGUGUGAAGAAGGCCUUCGGGUUGUAAAGCACUUUCAGCGAGGAGGCGUUACUCGCAGAAGAAGCACCGGCUAACUCCGUGCCAGCAGCCGCGGUAAUUC